rfam:Aedes albopictus isolate Foshan contig25263, whole genome shotgun sequence.
GGCUCGGUAGCUUAGUUGGAUAAGGCACUUGUCUAGCGUAUAAGGACCGUGAGUUCAAAUCUCACCCGAGCUG